rnacentral:rRNA from 1 species
UGAGGAAUAUUGGUCAAUGGGCGCGAGCCUGAACCAGCCAAGUAGCGUGCAGGAUGACGGCCCUAUGGGUUGUAAACUGCUUUUGUAUGGGGAUAAAGUCAAUCACGUGUGAUUGUUUGCAGGUACCAUACGAAUAAGGACCGGCUAAUUCCGUGCCAGCAGCCGCGGUAAUACGGAAGGUCCAGGCGUUAUCCGGAUUUAUUGGGUUUAAAGGGAGCGUAGGCUGGAGAUUAAGUGUGUUGUGAAAUGUAGACGCUCAACGUCUGAAUUGCAGCGCAUACUGGUUUCCUUGAGUACGCACAACGUUGGCGGAAUUCGUCGUGUAGCGGUGAAAUGCUUAGAUAUGACGAAGAACCCCGAUUGCGAAGGCAGCUGACGGGAGCGCAACUGACGCUUAAGCUCGAAGGUGCGGGUAUCAAACAGGAUUAGAUACCCUGGUAGUCCGCACAGUAAACGAUGGAUGCCCGCUGUUGGUACCUGGUAUCAGCGGCUAAGCGAAAGCAUUAAGCAUCCCACCUGGGGAGUACGCCGGCACGGU